CACGUAGGGCGCGAGCGUUGUCCGGAAUUAUUGGGCGUAAAGAGCUCGUAGGCGGUCUGUCGCGUCUGCUGUGAAAACUCGGGGCUUAACCCCGGGCCUGCAGUGGAUACGGGCAGACUAGAGUGCGGUAGGGGAGACUGGAAUUCCUGGUGUAGCGGUGAAAUGCGCAGAUAUCAGGUGGAACACCGUGGCGAAGGCGGGCUUCUGGGCCGGAACUGACGCUG
rnacentral:rRNA from 1 species